GGCACAAUUCAUUACUUUUAUGGAAAGCCCUACCAAACCCCACCUAGCCCCAGAAAAGGAGUACGAUAAAUUCUAGACGCCCCUAUCCUAAAACCCUGAUACUAGACCUCCAGACUUACCUAUAAAGGGCCAUGUCCUCGGAAAUCCGCAUUCUAACGAUGUCCUGCCUAAUCACCUUUCCCCAAUACCUCUUUGGCCUCCCUCUGCCUCGACUCACACUGACCACCGCCAGCCGCUCACAACUCCUCACGGGGGCAUCAGGGCUUCUCCUCCGCACAUGCCCGAACCAACUGAGCCUAGCUUCUUGCAUUUUUUCAUCCACUGGGACCACCCCCACCUUCACCCGAAUAACUUCAUUCUUAAUCUUAUCUGACUUGGUGAACCCGCAUAUCAACAUGAGCAUCCUCAUCUCCGCCAUAUUCAUUCUCUGAACAUGCGAGAUCUUCACCGGCAAGCACUCCUCCCCAUACAACAUGGCAGGUCUAACCACAACUCAAUAAAACUUUCCCUUGAGAUUCUAUGGAACUUUCUUGUCACACAAGACUCCUGAUGCAAGCCUCCACUUCGACCAUCACUCCAAUAUGCAGUGAGUGACUUCCCCAUCGAUCUCCCCGUCCCCCUGGAUCACCGACCCAAUAUAUCUCAAACUGUCCCUUUUAGCGAUAACUUGAGAUCCAAGUUUCACAUCCAUGUCUACUUCGCUCGGCUCGGCGCUAAACUUGCACUCCAGGUAUUCUGCCUUAGACCUGCUUAGUUUGAAACCCUUAGACUCUAGAGUCUGUCUCCAUACCUCAAACCUCUCGUUAACA
rnacentral:lncRNA from 1 species